GAUGAACGCUGGCGGCGUGCCUAAUACAUGCAAGUCGAGCGAACGGACGAGAAGCUUGCUUCUCUGAUGUUAGCGGCGGACGGGUGAGUAACACGUGGAUAACCUACCUAUAAGACUGGGAUAACUUCGGGAAACCGGAGCUAAUACCGGAUAAUAUUUUGAACCGCAUGGUUCAAAAGUAAAAGACGGUCUUGCUGUCACUUAUAGAUGGAUCCGCGCUGCAUUAGCUAGUUGGUAAGGUAACGGCUUACCAAGGCAACGAUGCAUAGCCGACCUGAGAGGGUGAUCGGCCACACUGGAACUGAGACACGGUCCAGACUACUACGGGAGGCAGCAGUAGGGAAUCUUCCGCAAUGGGCGAAAGCCUGACGGAGCAACGCCGCGUGAGUGAUGAAGGUCUUCGGGUCGUAAAACUCUGUUAUUAGGGAAGAACAUAUGUGUAAGUAACUGUGCACAUCUUGACGGUACCUAAUCAGAAAGCCACGGCUAACUACGUG
rnacentral:rRNA from 1 species